GGGGCGCACAGAGCGCCACCUCCGGCCGAGGCGCAGCUCAGAGCGCGAUGCGGGGGAGGAACGCGCGCGGAGGCCGAGGUCUGAGCGUGGCUAGACGGCUCCCACGCCGAGAAAGGGCGGGUGCGCCUGGGCUGGAUGGAUUUCGCCUCCCUAGACCAGGAGGGAUUGGACCCUGACUACAGGUCCAGGUGCUCGUCAGUGCCCUGCCAGGGGGUCUACGCGUCCUGGUACCGGGUCCAGCGGGGUGGCGUGCUGUGCAGACCCCGAGGCUAGACGGCCUAGGCCCCUGGAGCCCAGGAGACGCUUCCUUGGGGGGAACUUGCGGCUUGGGAGGGGACACCCACUGCAUGGCUUCUGGAAAGAGCCGGACUCGCAGGGCCAGGACGCAGGCCGGACCCCGGCCUCAUUCUUCGGCCAGUUAUCCCGGAGUGGCGCGCAUCCUGUCUUCCUGGGCCUCGGACUGCUCGCGCGCAGAGGGGGCCCGAGGACACCUCUGUGGGGUUAGAGGACUCGCGGCCGCGCGAGGGAGGCGAAAACUUGUGCAGCCGCGCGACAGCCGCCUUCUGGGGAGACUCGGGGCACGACGCACCCGGCGUGGGACUGGGACCCCCCUGCCCGGCCCCGCCACAUUCUCCGCCGGAUCCCCGGAAGACACAAGGAGACGUGGACCCCCACAGGCUUUUUUGGGGGGAUUGGGCGUUGAAACCGCAGGGCUGACUUAACCAAGAGGUCACCGACUUGGAUAAAAAACCCACGCCCGCGCGGACCCCCCUCCCCGGCCUUCGUUUCCAUUCAAACUCCCAGCGUCCUCAUUGCAGCCCCUGGGGAGGGGGACGGAGGGACGAGGUGGGUUUCAGGUGCUCGGCCCAGGAGGGGACGGUGCGACCCGGGCCCCGCCGGCGGGUUUUGCGCGCGGAGGCUGCGGCACCUGCCCCGCCCGCCCUGCCGCGAUCCUUGCAGACGGGGGCGGUCACAUGCUUCUUUCUGGCCAGGAAUCGAGUUUCACUUCCAGCCGCUAUUAGUCGGUUCACACAGUUCACUGCAAACAUUUGAUAAUGAGGCUAAAUAUACUCCCGCGUCGGAGGAGGCGUGGGCGUCCCCGCCCAGGCCCGGGAGACAGAGGCGCUGACCCCGGGACAGAGCCUGGCUUUGUGCGGGAGGCAGACGCGCCCCGCGCGCCGCCCCCGAAACAUUCGCACCCCAUGCUGAGGCGCGCGUCUGGGAGUCCGUGGGCGCCCCGAGAAAUGAAGUUGAAAAUAGCACAGGAGCCCACUAUCACUGUGUGAACAUUUUGUGAAUGAAGACAUGUAUGAAAGGAUGUUUGGAGGCUUCAAGAAACGAAAGCCGAGAGUCUAGCUAGACCAGAGCCAUCCAGCCCAGGAGCGAUGGCCACGUGUGGCCGCUGGACACGAGAGACGUGGCCAGUCCAAACUGUGCAGUGCGGGGCAGUGGAAGCCGUUGGAGGGCCUCAGGCAGGAACACAAGGUGUCGUGGCAGAAAGGAAGAAGGGGCCGGGCACGGUGGCCCACACCCGUCAUCCCAGCACUUUGGGAGGGAGGCCAAGGCAGGAGGAUCGCUUCAAUCCAGGAGUUCAAGAUCAGCCUGGGCAACACAGCAAGACCCCGUCUCUACUAAAACCCUAAAACUUAGCCAGGCUUGGUGGCAUGUGCCUAAGGUCCCAGGUCCUCGGGAGACUAAGGCAGGAGGAUUGCUUAAGCCCAAGAGUUUGAGGCUGCAGUGAACUAUUAUCACACCACUGCACUCAGCCUGGGUGACAGAGUGACUCUGUCUCAAAACUAAAUAAAUAAACAAUAAUUGUGU
rnacentral:lncRNA from 1 species